UAAGAAAAAUUAUAUGUUUCCCGAAUUUGGGAUAAAUUAUUCAUACUUCAAAAUUAUUUCAAAAUUAAUUAAACAAUUCCCCACAAUUAAUUCAAUUAUCAACCCAAUGAUUUAUUUACAAAACCCAAAUUCUCCACCUUAUCUCUCAAAUUAAUAUUCUAAAGCCCCAAAACAAUUUUCAAAGUCAACACCCAUAAACUUCUAAAGCCUAAAGAAAUUUAAAUGAAGCCCAUACUUUAAUAAUCCAUCAACUCCAAUUAAUGAGGCCAAAAUUUUAAAAGAAAACAAAAGGUUCAAAACAUUUUAUUUUUAGCACAAGGCCAAAGGGCUCAAUUUCAUUAAAUAAGGCAAUGGCUAUUUUUUAAAUGAAUUAAGAGAGGCCCAAAUCCUUAGAAAAUAGAAGCCCAAAACCCCCUUUUUUUUACAACACAAAUGGCCCAAAAGCAAAGCCCAAAAUUAUUUCAUAAAGGGCUAGGCCCAACAUUCUAUUUCUCUAUUUCCUUUAGCCCAAAAAAUUAGUUAAAUUUCGAAAUGGGCCUAAUAUUUCCGAUGCAUCGCAGCCCCUAAAUAAUUUGAAAGAGGUUGGGCUCGGAUUUAUUUUGCAUAGCCUAAUGCUAAUUAUUUUAAUGGCCCAAAACCAUUUAAAAUCAAAGGCCCAAAUUCUUUAAAAAUCAACAAGCCCAACAAAAAGGCCCAAAAUCAAUUAAUUCAUUAGCCCACAACUUAAGCCAAAUUAAAGAAACCAUAGGUUAAAGACCUAAGUCUUCUUCUUCCUCAUUUCACAAAUACGCAGCACCCUCUCCUCUCUCACUUUCUCUCUUCCUCAUCUCACGUUCAAAUCAGCCGCCGCAGCGGAUCCGCCUCUGUCGCACAGAGCCGCAGCCGCUGCUGCUGGACGCCAACGCCGCCGCUGCUCUCCGCACGCUGCUGUACCGUCGAAAAGCGCCGCUGCUCCAUCGCCCGUCGGGUUCGGUCAGCGCCGGUGCCCCGAAACCACCCCAAAACGUCCCACAUCUAACCCGACAACCCCGCACAAUCCCGAAACAACUCCGAUUCAACCCGAAACAGCCCCGCAGGUAUAAUCGGUUCAAGUUCGUGGCUAUCCACGUUGAAGUACCUGAUUUUCGUAGAACGCAGGAUGUAUAGAUUAAAUUUUGUUGGACUUUUGUUGGAUGUAACGGACAUCAAAAUUUUUAUUUUGGGAUCUUAUUUAUUUAUUUAUUUAAAUUUCUUAUAUUCA